rnacentral:rRNA from 1 species
UGGGGAAUAUUGCACAAUGGACGCAAGUCUGAUGCAGCCAUACCGCGUGUGUGAAGAAGGCCCGAGGGUUGUAAAGCACUUUCAAUAGAGAGGAAGAUUAAGUAGUUAAUACCUGCUUAGUUUGACGUUACCUAUAGAAGAAGCACCGGCUAACUCUGUGCCAGCAGCCGCGGUAAUACAGAGGGUGCAAGCGUUAUUCGGAAUUACUGGGCGUAAAGCGCGCGUAGGCGGAUGAUUAAGUCAGUUGUGAAAGCCCUGGGCUCAACCUAGGAACUGCAUCUGAUACUGGUCAUCUAGAGUUUAAGAGAGGGAAGUGGAAUUCCAGGUGUAGCAGUGAAAUGCGUAGAUAUCUGGAGGAACAUCAGUGGCGAAGGCGACUUCCUGGCUUAAAACUGACGCUGAGGUGCGAAAGCGUGGGUAGCGAACGGGAUUAGAUACCCCGGUAGUCCACGCCGUAAACGAUGUCAACUAGUUGUUGGUCUUAUUAAAAAGAUUAGUAACGAAGCUAACGCG